rnacentral:lncRNA from 1 species
UUGGGAAGCCAUUUUUGACAGCUCACAGAGGAGGAUAGAUAGUUCAGAGGAGAAGAAAACUCAAAAGGCGCUCGAAUUUUAAACGGGUAGGUAAAACUGUCAAAUUGGGUGAAAGUUAUCUUUUAUACUGACGGUUACACGGUGUACAAGGCCGACACAUUAAAUGAUAGUAAUGAUUUAGAAUUUGAAUGGAAAGCGUCCGGUUCCGGGUUCAGAUAUUUAUCAGGCAGAGCCUUUCUGAUUUGGGCCUCCGUUCUCCUCUCAUUUCACCUCAUGAACUGUAACCGGGUACAUUUCGAUUACUUCUUACUAUGGACCUUUAGUAAAAUAUCAUGGACCAUUUAUAGUUUUUUAUUAAACAUCCCGUUCAACAAAAAAC